GUAGGGAAUAUUGGGCAAUGGAUGCAAGUCUGACCCAGCCAUCCCGCGUGCCGGAAGAAGGCCCUCAGGGUUGUAAACGGCUUUUGACGGUGAAGAAUCGACAGGAUGCGUCCUGUUUUGACGGUAGCCGUUGAAUAAGCACCGGCUAACUCCGUGCCAGCAGCCGCGGUAAUACGGAGGGUGCGAGCGUUGUCCGGAUUUAUUGGGUUUAAAGGGUGCGUAGGCUGGAAGGUCAGUCAGCGGUGAAAAGCUGUCGCUUAACGAUAGUCGUGCCGCAGAUACUUCCUUUCUUGGAUGAGGAGGAGGCCACUGGAACGGAUGGUGUAGCGGUGAAAUGCAUAGAUAUCAUCCAGAACACCGAUUGCGAAGGCAGGUGGCUGUACCUAUAUCGACGCUGAUGCACGAAAGCAUGGGUAGCGAACAGGAUUAGAAACCCCAGUAGUCC
rnacentral:rRNA from 1 species